GUGAACGUGGCGGCGUGGAUUAGGCAUGCAAGUCGAGCGAUCGUAGCAAUACGGGAGCGGCAAACGGGGUAGGAAUACAUCGGAACGUACCCUUUGGUUGGGAAUAGCGUUGGGAAACUGACGGUAAUACCCAAUAAAGUCGAGAGACCAAAGGUUUACUGCCGGAGGAGCGGCCGAUGCGAUAUUAGGUAGUUGGUGGGGUAAUGGCCUACCAAGCCUGAGAUGUCUAGGGGGUGUGAGAGCAUGGCCCCCACCACUGGGACUGAGAGACUGCCCAGACACCUACGGGUGGCUGCAGUCGAGGAUCUUCGUCAAUGGGCGAAAGCCUGAACGAGCGACGCCGCGUGCGGGAUGAAGGCCCUUGGGUUGUAAACCGCUGUCAGGGGGGAUGAAACCGUAAGGUUGACAGAGCCCCAGAGGAAGCACGGGCUAAGUUCGUGCCAGCAGCCGCGGUAAUACGAACUGUGCGAACGUUACUCGGAAUCACUGGGCUUACAGGGUGCGUAGGUGGCUUGAUAAGCAGGGUGUGAAAUCCCUCGGCUCAACCGAGGAACUGCGCUCUGAACUGUCGAGCUAGAGUAUGCUAGAGGUGAAUGGAACAUCCAGUGGAGCGGUGAAAUGUGUUGAUAUUGGAUGGAACACCAGAGGCGAAGGCGAUUCACUGGGGCAUAACUGACACUGAGGCACGAAAGCCAGGGGAGCAAACGGGAUUAGAUACCCCGGUAGUCCUGGCCGUAAACGAUGAGAACUGAGCGGGGGGUGGCUUG
rnacentral:rRNA from 1 species